rnacentral:lncRNA from 1 species
CAAAGGGGGAAAGCUUGCUUUGCUUGCUGUAGCCCUCUUUUAGUAGAUUAGGCUUGGUAAGCGUAAGCUAUUUAAGUAGGCUCGCAGCUUCGCUCAGCAGAUCUGACUUUUGAUUAUAUUAGUAAAGCGCUAGCGCCCAACCUAGAUCUAGGGGCUGCAGAUGGAUAGGGGAAGGGAAGAAAAGAAAGAGGGUCACUCCUUUUAGGAACAUGGCUCGUUCAUUCACUUGUUCAUGAACUCGCAGCUUCGCCACAAGCGACGAAGGGGGGGCUAGGGAAGGCCGACGACUACAUGAGGGGGAAGCUAUCGUAGAAGCUUUAGCCCUUGCUUUACAUAAAUUGUUAUGAACUGACGUCAUUCUCCCGGAACGCUAGCUAAGCUAAUAGUCUUAGUUCCCUUCAAUUAAAUCAAUAAGCUUUUUGAUUGAUUCAGAG